UACGUAGGUGGCGAGCGUUGUUCGGAAUUACUGGGCGUAAAGCGCACGUAGGCGGAUUUGUAAGUCAGGGGUGAAAUCCCGAGGCUCAACCUCGGAACUGCCUUUGAUACUGCGAAUCUCGAGUCCGGAAGAGGUGAGUGGAAUUCCUAGUGUAGAGGUGAAAUUCGUAGAUAUUAGGAAGAACACCAGUGGCGAAGGCGGCUCACUGGUCCGGUACUGACGCUGAGGUGCGAAAGCGUGGGGAGCAAACAGG
rnacentral:rRNA from 1 species